GGCUUCACAGCUCAGAUGGUCGAGCAUCGCACCGGCAGCGCGGAGGUCACGGGUUCGAAUCCCGUUGAAGCCC
rnacentral:tRNA from 1 species